AUCAAACUCCGAAUGCCGUCAUCUUAUACUUGGGAGUCAGACUGUGGGUGAUAAGAUUCAUAGUCGAAAGGGCAACAGCCCAGAUCGUCAGCUAAGGUCCCUAAAUGUAAGUUAAGUGGUAAAGGAUGUGGGAUUGCACAGACAACCAGGAUGUUGGCUUAGAAGCAGCCACUCAUUCAAAGAGUGCGUAAUAGCUCACUGGUCGAGUGAUCCUGCGCCGAAGAUUUCCGGGGCUAAAACUUACUACCGAAGCUACGGCAUCAGUAAUGAUGGGUAGGGGAGCUUCCCAUACGGGUUGAAGCAUGACCGUAAGGACAUGUGGACAGUAUGGGAGUGAGAAUGUUGGCAUGAGUAGCGAGAUGUGGGUGAGAAUCCCACAGGCCGUAAACCCAAGGUUUCCAGGGGAAGGUUCGUCCGCCCUGGGUUAGUCGGGACCUAAGCUGAGGCCGAAAGGCGUAGGUGAUGGACAACAGGUUGAUAUUCCUGUACUACCGAUAACCGUUUGAGAGA
rnacentral:rRNA from 1 species